GGACUACCAGGGUUUCUAAUCCUGUUCGCUACCCAUGCUUUCGCUCCUCAGCGUCAGUUACUACCCAGAGACCUGCCUUCGCCAUCGGUGUUCUUCCUGAUAUCUGUGCAUUCCACCGCUACACCAGAAAUUCCAGUCUCCCCUGUAGUACUCAAGUCAGCCCGUAUCGCCUGCACGUCCAGGGUUAAGCCCUAGGAUUUCACAGACGACGUGACAAACCGCCUACGAGCUCUUUACGCCCAGUAAUUCCGGACAACGCUCGCACCCUACGUAUUACCGCGGCUGCUGGCAC
rnacentral:rRNA from 1 species